AGUGAACGCUGGCGGUAGGCCUAACACAUGCAAGUCGAACGGCAGCACAGUAAGAGCUUGCUCUUACGGGUGGCGAGUGGCGGACGGGUGAGGAAUACAUCGGAAUCUACUUUUUCGUGGGGGAUAACGUAGGGAAACUUACGCUAAUACCGCAUACGACCUACGGGUGAAAGCAGGGGAUCUUCGGACCUUGCGCGAUUGAAUGAGCCGAUGUCGGAUUAGCUAGUUGGCGGGGUAAAGGCCCACCAAGGCGACGAUCCGUAGCUGGUCUGAGAGGAUGAUCACCAAAAGUGAAACGAGGACACGGCCAAACCUCCAAGGGAGGGAGCAAGUGGGGAAUAUUGGAAAAGGGGCGAAGGCCGAACCAGGCCAUACCGCGUGGGUGAAAAGGGCCUUCGGGUUGUAAAGCCUUUUUGUUGGGAAGAAAAAGCAGAAGGUUAAAACCCCGCUGUUCUGAGGGUACCAAAAAAAAAAGAACGGGCUAACUUCGU
rnacentral:rRNA from 1 species